AGAUUGAACGCUGGCGGCAUGCCUAACACAUGCAAGUCGAGCGGCAGCGCGGGGGCGACCCUGGCGGCGAGCGGCGGGACGGGUGAGUAAGGCAUCGGAAUCUGCCCGUGAUGUAGGGGGAUAACGUAGGGAAACUUACGCUAAUACCGCAUACGACCGAGAGGUGAAAGCGGGGGACCGAAGGCCUCGCGCAGCAGGAUGAGCCGAUGUCCGAUUAGCGUAGGUUGGUGGGGUAACGGCCCACCAAGGCGACGAUCGGUAGCUGGUCUGAGAGGAUGAUCAGCCACGACUGGGACUGAGACCACGGCCCAGGACUCCUACGGGAGGCAGC
rnacentral:rRNA from 1 species